GUCAGGAUGGCCGAACGGUUUAAGGCGCUGCGUUUAAGUCGCAGUAAAAUUCUGUGUGCGUGGGUUCGAAUUCCACGUUUGACA